CAUGAGACUCUUCCUCAGAGUGCUGAGUAUCCUGCUGACAUUUUCACUUCCUGCCUCACAACGCCAAUCAAAAUGGCAUUGAGAUGGCUUUGCACGCGAUCAUUAUUUUGUGAGUCAUUUGAUUAUGCUCUGAUAGAUAGAAUUCCUGGCCGCCAAACAGAUCGAAAGACACCUCUUGGUGAAUUGAAUUGGAUUUUCACUGCAGUAACUGAUUCAAUUGCCUGGAAUGUUCUACCACGCGAUCUAUUUCAGAGAUUGUUCAGGCAAGACCUAUUAGUUGCUAGUUUGUUCAGAAAUUUUUUACUUGCUGAAAGAAUCAUGCGCUCUGCAAAUUGUUCACCAAUUUCAUACCCGAUGCUACCACCUACUCAUCAGCAUCAUAUGUGGGA
rnacentral:misc_RNA from 1 species